UAUCCCGGCAGUCCCAGGAGGGAAUUCCCGGGAUUUGUUUUGGGGUGCACCCCGAUAUCCCGGCAGUCCCAGGAGGGAAUUCCCAGGAUUUCUUUUGGGGUGCACCCCGAUAUCCCGGCAAUCCCAGGAGGGAAUUCCCAGGGUUUGUUUUGGGGUGCAGCCCCGUUAUCCCGGCAACCCCAGGAGGGAAUUGCCGGGGCUGUUCUGGGGGGCACCCCGAUAUCCUGCCAAUCCCAGGAGGGAAUUCCCGGGUUUGUUUUGGGGUGCUCCAUCCCUGGAUCCAUCCCUGGGAUCCAUCCCUGGGCUCCAUCCCUGGGCUCCAUCCCUGGAUCCAUCCCUGGGAUCCAUCCCUGGAUCCAUCCCCGGUUCCUGAGCUUCAUCCCUGUGCUCCAUCCCUGGAUCCAUCCCUGGAUCCAUCCCUGGGAUCCAUCCCUGGAUCCAUCCCCGGUUCCUGGGCUCCAUCCCUGGAUCCAUCCCUGGGAUCCAUCCCUGGAUCCAUCCCUGGGCUCCAUCCCUGGAUCCAUCCCCGGGUUCCUGUGCUCCAUCCCUGGAUCCAUCCCUGGGCUCCAUCCCUGGAUCCAUCCCCGGGUUCCUGGGCUCCAUCCCUGGAUCCAUCCCUGGAUCCAUCCCUGGGAUCCAUCCCUGGAUCCAUCCUGGGCUCCAUCCCUGGAUCCAUCCCUGGAUCCAUCCCUGGGUUCCUGGGCUCCAUCCCUGUGCUCCAUCCCUGGAUCCAUCCCUGGGAUCCAUCCCUGGAUCCAUCCCCGGGUUCCUGGGCUCCAUCCCUGGAUCCAUUCCUGGGAUCCAUCCUGGGCUCCAUCCCUGGGCUCCAUCCCUGGGAUCCAUCCCUGGAUCCAUCCCUGGGCUCCAUCCCUGGGAUCCAUCCCGGGUUCCUGGGAUCCAUCCCUGGGAUCCAUCCCUGGGAUCCAUCCCUGGAUCCAUCCCUGGGCUCCAUCCCUGGAUCCAUCCCGGGUUCCUGGGAUCCAUCCCUGGGAUCCAUCCCUGGGAUCCAUCCCUGGAUCCAUCCCUGGGCUCCAUCCCUGGAUCCAUCCCCGGUUCCUGAGCUUCAUCCCUGGGAUCCAUCCCUGGGCUCCAUCCCUGGAUCCAUCCCUGGAUCCAUCCCUGGAUCCAUCCCUGGGAUCCAUCCCUGGGAUCCAUCCCUGGAUCCAUCCCCGGUUCCUGGGCUCCAUCCCUGGAUCCAUCCCUGAGC
rnacentral:lncRNA from 1 species